UACAGAGGUCUCAAGCGUUGUUCGGAUUCAUUGGGCGUAAAGGGUGCGUAGGCGGCGCGGUAAGUCGGAUGUGAAAUCUCGGAGCUUAACUUCGAAACUGCAUUCGAUACUGCCGUGCUUGAGGACUGGAGAGGAGACUGGAAUUCCUGGUGUAGCGGUGAAAUGCGCAGAUAUCAGGAGGAACACCGGUGGCGAAGGCGGGUCUCUGGGCCGAUACUGACGCUGGAGGAGCGAAAGCCGUGGGGAGCGAACAGG
rnacentral:rRNA from 1 species